UCGAGUCCCGGACCAGGACGAAUUUUUCUUCAACUGCGAGGCUUUCUUUCGAGGAACCCGGUUGGGUUUCCAUUGUAGCAAAUUGCUACAUUUGGGUGGAUGUCUCAGUUUCCCUUUCAUUACUUAUCUCCACCUAGCGGAUUUCCGCUGAACUAUAACAUCAAACACUUGCCUUUGCUUCGAGUUGUCGACAAAUUCGACUUCGCCCUGCCAUCUGCUAGCCGCCUGCUUAGCUGAGAUGGUAGAGCGGCUGCCCCGGAAAGGCCGUGGUCCCGGGUUCGAGUCCCGGACCAGGACGAAUUUUUCUUCAACUGCGAGGCUUUCUUUCGAGGAACCCGGUUGAGUUUCCAUUGUAGCAAAUUGCUACAUUUGGGUGGAUGUCUCAGUUUCCCUUUAAUUACUUAUCUCCACCUAGCGGAUUUCCGCUGAACUAUAACAUCAAACACUUGCCUUUGCUUGGAGUUGUCGACAAAUUCGACUUCGCCCUGCCAUCUGCUAGCCGCCUGGUUAGCUCAGAUGGUAGAGCGGCUGCCCCGGAAAGGCGGUGGUCCCGGGUUCGAGUCCCGGACCAGGACGAAUUUUUCUUCAACUGCGAGGCUUUCUUUCGAGGAACCCGGUUGGGUUUCCAUUGUAGCAAAUUGCUACAUUUGGGUGGAUGUCUCAGUUUCCCUUUAAUUACUUAUCUCCACCUAGCGGAUUUCCGCUGAACUAUAACAUCAAACACUUGCCUUUGCUUCGAGUUGUCGACAAAUUCGACUUCGCCCUGCCAUCUGCUAGCCGCCUGGUUAGCUCAGAUGGUAGAGCGGCUGCCCGGAAAGGCGGUGGUCCCGGGUUCGAGUCCCGGACCAGGACGAAUUUUUCUUCAACUGCGAGGCUUUCUUUCGAGGAACCCGGUUGGGUUUCCAUUGUAGCAAAUUGCUACAUUUGGGUGGAUGUCUCAGUUUCCCUUUAAUUACUUAUCUCCACCUAGCGGAUUUCCGCUGAACUAUAACAUCAAACACUUGCCUUUGCUUCGAGUUGUCGACAAAUUCGACUUCGCCCUGCCAUCUGCUGGCCGCCUGGUUAGCUCAGAUGGUAGAGCGGCUGCCCCGGAAAGGCGGUGGUCCCGGGUUCGAGCCCCGGACCAGGACGAAUUUUUCUUCAACUGCGAGGCUUUCUUUCGAGGAACCCGUUUGGGUUUCCAUUGUAGCAAAUUGCUACAUUUGGGUGGAUGUCUCAGUUUCCCUUUAAUUA